GACGAACGCUGGCGGCGUGCUUAACACAUGCAAGUCGAACGGAAAGGCCCUGCUUUUGUGGGGUGCUCGAGUGGCGAACGGGUGAGUAACACGUGAGUAACCUGCCCUUGACUUUGGGAUAACUUCAGGAAACUGGGGCUAAUACCGGAUAGGAGCUCCUGCUGCAUGGUGGGGGUUGGAAAGUUUCGGCGGUUGGGGAUGGACUCGCGGCUUAUCAGCUUGUUGGUGGGGUAGUGGCUUACCAAGGCUUUGACGGGUAGCCGGCCUGAGAGGGUGACCGGCCACAUUGGGGCUUAGAAACGGGCCAGACUCCUACGGGAGGCAGCAGGGGGGAAUAUUGCACAAUGGGUGGGAGCCUGGUUCAACAACGCCGGGUGCCGGGUGACGGCCUUCGGGGUGGAAACCGCUUUCGCUCAGGGCGGAGGUUUGUGUGACGGUAGUGGGUAAAGAAGCACCGGCUAACUACGUG
rnacentral:rRNA from 1 species